GACGUAGGGGGCCAGCGUUGUUCGGAAUUACUGGGUGUAAAGGGUUCGUAGGCGGUGCGGCAAGUUGGGAGUGAAAUCUCUGGGCUUAACCCAGAGGCUGCUUCCAAAACUGCUGUGCUUGAGUGUGGGAGAGGCGCGUGGAAUUGCAGGUGUAGCGGUGAAAUGCGUAGAUAUCAGGAGGAACACCGGUGGCGAAGGCAGGUCUCUGGGCCACUACUGACGCUGAGAAGCGAAAGCAUGGGGAGCGAACAGG
rnacentral:rRNA from 1 species